UAGCGGGAGAGGCCGUGCCCCAAGCGCCGGCUGCCGAAGGAGCAAAUCCUCCCCGGGACACUCUCAGGCACCCGUACCGCCGU
rnacentral:ncRNA from 1 species